UUUUCUUUAUUACAGGUAAUUCAGGUGGAAUUUGUGUCUAGACCUUUAUUAGACAAGACAAUAUUUAAAAACGAGUAAUAGAAAAAAAAAAUCUCUGCUGAGAUAUAGUCUUCAGCGAACAGCAAUCCCUGCGCUGCGCUGUUCUCUUCAGGAGCAAUUAGUCCUAACAGGCUUCCUGAUCAGCGGGAUAAUGGUCCGCUCCUGUCUGGAGGUUCUGCUGUGGCUGAGGCAGUGAUCUGAUAGAAGAGGACCCUGAUUAAAUUAGCAGGCCAUUUGCUCCUGUUAGCAAGUGAAGGAUGUCUCAGUGGGCAGUGGAGUUUGAUCAGAGAUAGAUCGAUCAACAAUACGUGCUCUACGUUUUGCCCUGCUAGUUUGAGAAUAGAAUAACAUCCACGAUCACAAAACCGAGUUAGACAAUAACAAGAGGAAAUCCUAUACCUCGCACCAUUUUUUAUUCUCCAGAAAAUGCAACCUGACAAGUAAAGAAAAAGUCAUAGCUCUCGGAAUCUCUUUAAAAGGCAAUGCAGGUCCAUAAUAUGAACACGUACCUGCGUACGUAUGUAUGUAUGUAAACUGAAACAUGAUUUAUACUUAAAAUUAAAAUUCAUAAAAUACGUUUAAGGUUAUAAUAGCAAUGGUCACUUAUAAAUCCCCAUGUGUCUUAUAAUUUCUGAAAAAAAAACAGGCAAAAAAAACCCAAAAUGAUAUAUAUAAAGUUGAAAAUGCCCGUGAUAAAAUAAACACAAAUAACCUUUGCACAGUUACAGUUUGCUAUUUACAGAAUUGAAUGCAAUUCUGAUCAAAUUAUUCAAGUUCUAGGAUAGUAUUACAAAGAAUAUGGGGCUGAAAGGCUUUGUAACAUAAAUGAAGGAAGCAGACUAUUUGACUCUGCAGUGUAAUUUAAUAAUCGUCAUUCACAUCUUGCAAUGUUAUCUUGAAAUGGAGCGAACGUGUCAUCCUGAGUGAAUAUACCCGAUCUGACUCAUGUGCAAAUGAUUUAAGUCUUAACUGAUAAUGUGUACUGAAGUAACUCAUGAAACAAAAGCAGAAAUUGAAUGUCGGUGCGAGAAGAAAAUAGUACUCUGACGUAGCUCAUCUGCCCAUUAGACAAGCCCAGGGGUUGAGGGCUCUUGUAAUCAGUUGAAUAGCUCGUAACCACACCUAGCCAUUAGUAGCUGUGCAUGCUGCAAAGAGAAUCUUGCGUACCCUGGAUUAAACUGCAGGAGACAAGCAGACUGGGGAUAUUUUUGCUUUGGACGUGGCUUCAUUGAGAGAACUGACUGAUAGGGACCAAUACAGAGAUAAUCAAACCCAUUUCAGACUGCAUUCACAAGGAGAAGAAACUGCACACCCUGGCUGUGGAAAUGGAGUACAGACUGCUCGAACGGGAACCCUUCACGCUGCGUUACCUGCGGGUUCUAAAGCAGGUCCUCACCUUCGUGCUGUUCAGCUACACGGUGCUGCUAGGCGCGCUCAUUCUGGCGGGGUGGACUACAUAUUUUAUGGUCGUUAAGAAAUAAUGGGCGGGCCUGCACCCUCUUAAUAGCAGAAACAACAGCAUUGAUAGCAACGAUCAAUUGGUAGAACAUGUUAAACGAUGUAGUCGACUGUAUGUGAAACGAAAGUGUUAUUUUCUGUCUAGCGCACUCGCUGGUUUUUGUAUAUCGCGACCGAUAGCAAUGUAAUAAUAUUAUCUAGAUAUUUAUUUUGAUUAAACUUUUCUCUGUGCCUUAA